UAAAAGGAUUUUCUAAAAUCCACUAUCAAUUUUUAAAAGAUAACUG
rfam:Equus caballus chromosome 1, whole genome shotgun sequence.